rnacentral:rRNA from 1 species
UUUGAUCCUGGUCAGAUUGAACGCUGGCGCCAGGCUUAACACAUGCAAGUCGAGCGGGCGAGGUUGCUUCGGUAACUGAGCUAGCGGCGGACGGGUGAGUAAUGCUUAGGAAUCUGCCUAUUAGUGGGGGACAACAUUCCGAAAGGGAUGCUAAUACCGCAUACGUCUUACGGGAGAAAGCAGGGGCUCUUUAUGACCUUGCGCUAAUAGAUGAGCCUAAGUCGGAUUAGCUAGUUGGUGGGGUAAAGGCCUACCAAGGCGACGAUCUGUAGCGGGUCUGAGAGGAUGAUCCGCCACACUGGGACUGAGACACGGCCCAGACUCCUACGGGAGGCAGCAGUGGGGAAUAUUGGACAAUGGGGGGAACCCUGAUCCAGCCAUGCCGCGUGUGUGAAGAAGGCCUUUUGGUUGUAAAGCACUUUAAGCGAGGAGGAGGCUUAUCCUGGUUAAUACCUAGGAUAAGUGGACGUUACUCGCAGAAUAAGCACCGGC